rnacentral:lncRNA from 1 species
AAAAGGAAUAAUUGAUUUGGCGGUUCAUAUGUUGGCUUGCCUAACAGAAUGGUUGGGCGCUAUCACAGUCUGUUAUGGGAUUUGGAUCGUGACACUAUUGGACUUUAGUUGCCCAACAUUCAUUGCAGUGUAGUAUUGCUGGUCUUAUAAAAGCUCUUCUUCCCACUUGUAUAGUUACGAAAAUUCGCCAUCAAUAUAUAACUAGAAUGGGUUCAUCAUAAUAGUUGCAUCAAAACAUCACGGUAGGAAUCCAUUCUCUUGAUCAGCAAAAUACGUAGACUAAUUAGUACAUGUAUACUUACACGUACGGGGUUAAUUUCGUUUACACUGACAUCUUACAGAUAGUCAUGAUCUCAAAUUCUACGAAUACAGACUGUGAUUUCUCAUUGAUUCACAUUUGCAAGAGAAUAUGAUCAGCAGAUGCACGAAAUAUAUAUAUAGGUCAUUUGUUGAUUCAACAAAAAUAAUACUCAGUACUAUCUAGAUGCAAUUGAUCCUUAUAGAGAUAGGAGUUUUCCAUUUUUCUUUCCUUUAACAUGAGUUAAGUGUUUCCAUUCCUAGAAAUCCAGCCCCUAAUGAUCUGUAAAAAAUGAAGUCAUUGAGAUUUCCAAUGAUUGAUUUCACUUUUUAAUUUUUGGGAACUUUUCUUAGGUCAAGAAAAGAGCCUUGUUGUUUGAAGCAAGGAGUUUACUUUGUAUAACUAUACUUUGUUCUUAUGUAAGAUUAAUGCAUAUGUUAUGAUGAAGGCUACCUACAUUUGCGUUGCAAUUUGAUAUAUAUUGGAUCAGGAAGACAGCUUUGAUCAAAGAAAAGGUAAGAUCUUACUGUAGUCAUCAUCCAUAUUUAUAUACAUCAUCACUUGAUCAUCAGCCAUUAAUUGUUAACAACUUUUGCUUUAUUUUUAUUUUUCCUUUUUCUCCUACGUUGAAAUUCCAUAAUUUCUUUUCUCUUUUUCUUGUAAAAAGUUAGUGAGAUCUAUAUAUGCCCCCUUAACUUUCAAAAUCCAUUUUCCUAAAUACAUAACUCUUUUUCUAAAUCUUGUGAUCAAUGAGAAUAACAUUUUGUUUUGGGUCAUAUGAUGACUCAAUGAAAUUUUGAAAACGAAAAGUUUUCUCCAACAAUAUGCAAGGAAUGUUAUGAUACAACAACAACAAUGACGACCCAGUAAAAUCACACUAGUAGGGUCUGGGGAGGGUAGUGUGUACGCAGACCUUAUCCCUACUCUGAGGGAGUAGAGAAGUUGUUUCCGAAAGACCCUCGGCUCAAGAAGACGAAAAAAAAGAGUUAGAGACGUCCUUGUAAAUCAAAGAGUUAUGAGAUAGUCAAACAAUUAAUUGUAAGAUGUUAGAUAUUCCUUUCUAAUAAACAAAAUAGAAUUUAGCGUCUAGGUGAGUUAAAUAUAAAAACCAACAAGUUGUCACAAUUAGUGCCUAAUUUCUAUCCCUAACUAAUUAGAAGUUAACUACAAUAUUUGAAUUGAAAUUAAGACAUUGAGAAUAUGAAGAAGAAAGCAAAGAAGAAAUUUGAAAUUAAAUUUUGCAAGAACCAAGAAAAGUGAAGAAAUGUUUGAAUUAAGGAGGAGUAAGGAAAGUAGAAAAUAGCAUGGGACUUUUAGUGACAAUGACAAUUGAUUCUAAUUCUAAAGGAAAUGGGUGAUGUAUUCCCAAUCUUCCAUUGUGAUUGAGUGUGUCUUUAGGUACACACAGACACACACUAUUCAGAGACUUUAAAGUUAGUGUUUUCACCUACUGUUUACCUGUUCCCUUCCCUUUGCUUUUUCUCUCUUUCAUUAUUUUUACAGAUUCCUUCCCAACUAGAAAUCCUGCUCUUGUCAGGACAAUUCCCCACAAUCUUCUACUCAGAUAUGUUUCUUUUUUAUACAAAUUUUAAACUUGAAACUUUUCGCACAAGAUUGAGUAAAAGUCACUACUACUACUAAGGCGAAUAGUUCAAUAUAGCAAAAAUAAUCCUAUCACGCCUCAACAAGUAAACAAAUAGUCUAGACAUAAUUUUUAGCAUGAAUGAUAACUCACGUAGUCAUGCAAAUGGAGAAAACACAAUAUUAAAGAAGCAUGAUAGCAAAACAAAGCAUAUAAUAGCCUAAAAUCUAUCAGGAUCAUGAAUAACCACGGUGUAUGCAUAUACACUUGUCACCUCGCAUAUACGCCGCCCCCAAUACAUAACAUACAUCAUAGCCAACAGGAAAAUUACCCUCAAACCAAGCUUAGGCAAGAUAUUGACCUCAUCCAAGCUAGUCCUCAAUCUCAAAUCGCGUCAAAACAUUGAUCCAAGUCAAACAUUAUCCAAAGAAGUCAACAAUGCCCUAGGAAGCAAUCCAUAUCCAUAAAGCUUCGAUAUUUGAGAAAAUUCUCAAAAGUCAAUCCGGACCCACGUGCCUGAAAUCCGAGACCAACACCAAAAUUCGAUGACCCAUAACCUGUCGAAUCCAAAUAUGUAAUCAGUUUCCAAAACCGAGUCCAAAUUGGUGCUCAAAUCCCCUAAAAUAUACUCUCUUAAAGUGUAGACAAAAAACAAAAUAGAAAUCUAUGGGUCAUCAAUAUAUGAAAUCAAAUCCAAGUGAAAAUCACUUACCUCUAAGGUAGUAAUGAAAUUGCUCUUCAAAAUAUCCUCUUCUUAGAGUCUAGGGCUCAAAAUGUGAAAUAAUGUGCAAAAUCCCGAAAAUGAUAACUUAAAUGCAAUAUCCAGCAGUACUCUGAGUGAUCGCCACAGUACCCUCGCAAUCGCAAAGGUCAAACUGACUCUAGCUCCAGCUAUGCUUCGUGAACGCGAUGGUCCACACUACACAGGCCUACGCGAAUGCGACGCACCUACGUGAACACGAACACCAAAACUCUGCUUGACAAUAAAGCUUUGCAGACGUGACUACUUCAUCGCGAAUGCUAACAAAUCACCAGUCCACCAAAACAUUCUACGCAAAUGCAUCAUAGUGAUCGCGAACGUGAAGAACAACAGAAGAUUAGCUAGGCCAAACUCAUCUAAAAUUGUCUGAAAACAUCCUGAAACUCACUCGAGCUCGGGACCCGGUCCAAUCAUACCAACAAGUUCAAAUACAUCUCCCAAACUUAUCAUAAGGCUCCAAACACCGUAAUUGAUAUCAAAACCAAGAAUCCUCGAUCAAGAUCAAUUUUUUAAGUUCAUAAACUUCCAACUUCAAACCAAGCGUCUGAUUCAAGCCUAAAAAAUCCAGAAUGGACCCGAACUUUGCACAUAAGUCCUAAAUAACAAGACGGACCUAUUCUAAUUCUCAGAAUAAUAAUUUGACCCUGAUAACCUCAAAGUCAACUCCCUAUCAAACUUAUGAAUUUUUCUAACCUUCAAAUUUUUAACUUUUGACAAUUAGAGCCAAAUCAACCAAGAAACCUUCAAAUCCAAAUCUCAACAUAUUCCUGAGUUCAAACUCACCAUACGAACCUAAUGGAACCAUUAAAAUACGAUUCCGGGAUCGUUUACUCAAAAUCAAACCUUGGUCAACUCUUCCAAUUUGAAGCUUCUAAAUUGAGAAUUACUCACCCAAAUUAACUUUGAAUCUCUCGAAAAUCAAAACUAACUAUAUACGCGAGUCAUAAUGUAUAAUAUGAAGCUAAUCAAUGUCUCAAACCUGUGAUUAAAGUGCUAAAGCUCAAAAUGACCAGUUAGGUCGUUACACUUCAGGAAUAGGUCAUUCAAUUAUUUAGUAAUCCUUGAAAGCACCUUCUUGCUAUGCUUGCUAUUUGCCUUGAUCAGUUCUAAGGAACUCUGGGAAUAGCACUGAAAGCCUCUAACUCAAGUAACAAAAAGGAGUGAGGUUAGCCAAAACCUUCAUCAAUUAAUACUCCAAAACUUAGAAUAUUUUGGUUAAGGAAAAUAAUCUCUAUAUGAUUCGGUUUACGUAUUUAUUUUUAACUCCACGCGCCUUUCUUUCUUUUUACACAUAUUUUUUUUAUGCAAGCAAAACAAUAUUAAUUAAACCUUAUUGACCCCGAAUUUCUUCAGCCUGCAUAAUGUUUGUAGCCAACGAAAUAAAAUAUUCAAGGAAUCUGACUUGUAUAUAUUAGGAAUCGGUUUCUAGCUCCUGACCACAUACUCCAAGAGACUCGGCUCUUUUGCAAUUGUUUGCUAAUCAUCAAAACCAACAUAACCUCAACUCAACACCUUUUUCAUCCUUAACUAGAUGUCUCAUGGGAACCGGAUACCGAAUAAAUAUAUUUAAAAAACUAAAAAAAUUCUAAAUAACCUUAGACAAAAUCGAAGCACGUAAGUACAUAAAAUAAACCUCAGCUAUCUUUAACUUUAGAUCUGGAAUAUGUUUGUGUUUGACACACGAAAAUGAAUAAAGAGAUAAAGAAAAUUUGUGGUGCAUGGGAGGCUCGGAGAGGGAGAAGAGUGUAAAUACUUAUUAUACUUGAUAUUUACACUAAAUAAGUAAAUAUAUAGGGUGUAUUUUACACGUAUAAUACUUUUAAUAAUUAAUUAUAACUAAAUAAUAUAUAUUUUAAUUUAUUAAAGUAAAUUUAUGUUAAUAUUAAUCCCUCCUUUUAGUAUUAAUUAACAAUCAAAAUGACCAUAUUAAUCUUAAUUUGUUCAUUAAAAAUAUAACAAAUACUCAUGUGCUCUUUACUGAAAGGGGCAAUUUUAUUUUUUUCAGUGAUCUGCAAAGAGCAAUGCUUAAAGUUUAUUUCUGAAAGAAAAAGGGAACUGAUAAAACUGUGGUUGAACCAAUCCAUGAAGGAAACAUCUGAAAACGAGC